GAACCUCCGGGGGCUGGGAGGUUCGACUCGAGCGAAGCGAGAGAACGUUGCGCCAGCAACGGCCCGCAGGGCGAGCCACGAAGUGGCGAGUAAUCCUCUAUCACCGACCA
rnacentral:sRNA from 1 species